AGCCACUCUCGCUACACACAACUUAUUGGGAUCACACUCACUGAAACAGGUAUGUUAUUUUUUUGUCGCCGUUGCUGCAAUUGCAGUGGGGGAAAGGCACCCCUGCUAUAUGCAUUCGCCUCACAAAGUUCAGAAGCCCCAUCUACCUCAGCAGAUGUCGACCGUAGAGUAGAGCCCCCUGCAAAGGCAGGGAAAGUCCUAGCCUGGUUUAUUAACAUAGCUUCAUUAGAAUGCACUGAGCAGCCUUCCAUUUCCUCUUCUUCCUUUUCCCAAGCAAGAAAACAUCACAGACGACUUUCCACCACAUGUUUGUUAAUAUAAAAAUUACCAUAUCAAUAACAUGCCAUUACCAGAGGAAGGUUGUCCGUCUCUGAAGGUUUCACAUCAUUGUCAGGCCAGAUCAGAAGCACGUCUUGGUCCAGGGUGGUUUCCCCUUCUUCCUCUCUUCUUUUCUGCCCACCCCCCCCAUCUUCAGUUUGCCACAGUGCGGUUUUUCUUUUUUCUUUUCUCCUUGGCAUUUGUGCAGCAUCGAGGCACUCAAGCCAUGUUGAACCCACAGAUUGGGUGGGGAGAACUCCCAGCUAAACCCCCUGGUGGAAAGUGAAGAACUUCCAAGCUCUGAACUAGAGACUGUGGGACACUCAAACCUUUCUGAUGGGGGAACCUGAAUUGUCCCACCAAAUGUCCACUUACUAAACUAUUGUAAUAGGAAGCAGAGUGGUAGAACAUUGGCUUUGUGUGCAGAAGUGUCCAGGUUCAAUUAUGCAGGUAGGGGUUGGAGAGAACUCUGGCUGCAGAGCUACGGCAAGUCAGUGUAGACAAUACUGAACCAGGUGGGCUAAUGGGCCAACUCAAUCUAAGACAGCUUCCACGUAGGGCUACCUUUGAAGACGGUUGAGAAGCUUCUGAUGGUUUAAAUUUGAGCUGUCAGCAUGUUUGGGAGAGCUAGGUGGCAGUAGCGAAUGGUGGGGCGGGGUAGUGGUGCUCACCUGAUCUCCUCAUCACUGAGUUGCUGCUGCCUGCCAGGAAGGAGAGGAUGAAGGGCGAGGUGGUGGGGAUCUGGCACAGUGCAAAUGCACCAAGGGAGCCAAUCUGUUCUUUUGAUUUGCACCAUGUUGACCUUCCUCUUGUCCCACCCCUUCCCCUCUCCUCCCCAGUAAGCAGCAACAACACCACUGUUGGGAGGUCAGGUAAGCACUGUUGCCCUACCACUGCUACUGCUAGGCAGUGUUGAUGAUAUUGCAUAAGUUUUGCAUCAGUUGCGUGUGGAGGUCCCCCAAGCCACCCCUAAAUAAUUCACAAUUCACACAUAAUUUUUGUUUAAGGUUUUUGGCAUAAUUUUGGCCACAACUUUAUUAAAAUACAUAAAUGUGAGUGGUUGCUUAGGCAUUGGUUAUGACUAUCUGUCCCCACACCCGGGAACAGAACUGACUUCCAGAGUCCAGCGAAAGCCAGUAAGGGAAAACAAUAUUGGGGAGAGCAUGGAGCCAGGCACCAGACGCUCAUCCCCCCCCCCAUGCUCCCUGGGGCUUGCACGGCCCUAAGCCCUCUUCAGGGGUACGGCUGAAAGAAUGGCAAGCCCCUGGAUUCCUUUAACGGAAUUCCCUUUCCGCAGCAGCAUUGGAGGGGCAGGCACUGCCAAUCCUUACCCCUCCACCAACCAAUUUUUUAACCAAUGCCUAACUGCAACCUUACAAGUUGUGACGAUUUGCUACGCAGUAGGCAAAAACCAAAUGGUACCAGCCAAUCAGCUGAUUGGACAAAAUUGCUACCAGGCCCCUGCCCCAAAAGCAGACGACUCCAUGGCAGGCAUAGCAAGGUCCACGCAAUAGCCCUAGAUUAGGGGGUGGGUGGGCGGGUGAUUCGAAGCACGCAGCAAAAGAGCCCAGUCAGUGCUUCGUGACUUGAUUUUAUAACCUUUGGUCCAUCCCCCUAAAUAGCAACACCAAAAUUUGCCCAGAAACCCAACCGCCCAAUCACUGCGGAUGGUCAUCCAUACUAACCCGCCCAGGAACAGAGGGGGGGCUUGUCAGACCCCACCGAAACACGUGCUCUCUAUGAAGGAGAACAUGCUUUACCAAACUCAGAUAGCACUUUAAGAUGCUACUACUUUCCUUUAAAUUCCUGAAGGCUUUGGGUUCAGGUCAUUUGAAGGAAAUGACCUUAAGACCUGGUGCAAACCAGGAGCAAGGCACUUUGGCACUUUUAGGUGUCAAAACUCUCAGCUUUUUGCUGAGUGUUGUAGUGCUGCGCCAAAAAUCUCUCCUGUGCUUUCACCACCACCAUGAUUCCUCGUCAAGAAACUGCAUUUCAAAAUCAUCAAAGGAGCAGGGAUCUGGGUGAGAUUCUUAUGAGUGGGACGUGGGGUUUUUGUUUCAAUUACAGAGAGGUGUUUGUGAGCGUCCUUCCUUACAUUCAACAAAUCAUCUACUCGCUCUUCAACAGUAUCAGGUGCCUGGUCUUACAGAAGAGGCCAACCAAUAGUUUUCAGGGGUUUGGAAGAAGCAUAGGCUGGGAAUGUUGCAGCCAGCCAAUAGCUGGUUGGAGGGUGGAAGAAGCCAGCUGCUCAGACACACCACCUCUUAAGUAAGAUAACUUGUCCAAAAUGAAAAUAUGAAAGGCAACUUAGAAAGACACGGGAUUAAAAAGCAAAACGAAACAGCAGCCUCUUUUGCAGGGCCAAAGAAACCCUGGGUUAUUUAUUUAUUUUACAUAUUUAUGAAUUGCCUAUAACCAUAGAUCUCUAAGCGAUUUAUAGCAGAGUAAACUACAGAAUAACAUACGUUAUAAAUAAGAGAGUAGAGUACUAAAACUGACCAGAUAAAAUUAAUGUUCCGGAAAUGCUUGCUGAAAUAAAAAAAUGUUUUCAUGGCACGUCGAAAUCCAUGCAUCUGUUGGCAUCUGCCUCACCUGCACAGGGAGGGUAUUCCAUAAUGCAGAAAACUACUAUGCUUAAUACUUUAUUUUGCAUACAUCUAUAGAGGUUUGAUUUCUAUUUAGAAAAUGGAGGGCAAGAUUCAGCACAGAGCUACCAACCCCACAACUUGUGGUAUUCUGUCUCAUACGAACUCUACUUCACAAACCCCUCUUGUAAAAUCAUUUCAUCAGUGGCUCCCUGUUAUUAAUGUUAUUAAUCUGGUGUCAUUUCCCAUGGAUUACCCUUGUUUCAUUGCUUUUUUCCGUUUUUAUUGUAAGCCUUCUUGUGAGGGAUUCUCUUAAAGGCAGGGUAGAAAUAUGUGAAAGAAGUAAAUGUGGUCUUUCUGAAGUCUGCUUCCGUGCUUUGGAGCUGCUGUUGGAGACGGCAAAAUUUACAAACCAAAGCCAGUCAUUGAUGCAGGACUGGGGAUCCUCUGACCCACAGGCCAGUCUUGGUCUGCCAAGGGGGUCCAAUUUGGCGCAUGGGGUCAUUUCCCACCAACCAUGCUCAUCUGUCAACAGCUGAUGUCUCCAGGUGAUGUGAGCUAAUGGGAGGGGAGGGUUCAAUGCUGCUGGGUGCUGGGUGCUGAAUGCACUGGCAAGCAGAGCCCCUCAGAGAGCAGGACUGAGUCUUCUAGGAACUGUUUCAAUAGUGUGUUCCCAUCAUGGUGUCGGAUAAUUGACAGGAGGGUGGCUUCACUCAGCUGUCACUCAUGUCCCACAGGACGUGAGGAGAUAAACAUCUGGCCUACUUGGACAGAAAAGAUGUCCAUCGCUAGACUAUAGCUCUCAUUCAUCCUUACUAUUGGCCUCACAGAGUGAAGCUAGGGAUGGAUGGACUAUUCAAGUCUCCUGCAUUCCAGUUUGCAAUGAAGACAGGACUAAAUCCAUCCUGUCCUAUCUGCAGGUGGAUUUUUAAUGGCUAAUUCUAACAAACAGGAACACACAUUAAGCAAACAUUUCAUACAUAAACGGCCUCAGUUCAGUAUACUUGAAGGAGCGUCUCCACCUCCAUUGUUCUGCCCGGACACUGAGGUUCAGCGCCGAGGGCCUUCUGGCGGUUCCCUCACUGUGAGAAGCGAAGUUACAGGGAACCAGGCAAAGGGCCUUCUUGGUAGUGGCAUCCACCCUGUGGAAAACCCUCCCACCAGAUGUCAAAGAGAACAACAACUACCAGACUUUUAGAAGACAUCUGAAGGCCCUGUUUAGGAAAGCUUUAAAGGUUUAAUAGGUUAUUGUAUUUUAGUGUUUUGUUGGAAACUGCCCAGAGUGGCUGGGGAAACCCAGCCAGAUGGGCGGGGUAUAAAUAAUAAAUUAUUAUUAUUAUUAUUAUUAUUAUUAUUAUUCCAACAUCCAAGGUGGUUCAAGAGUUGCAGCCAUGUUUCUCCCCAUACAAUUCCUCCCAGGGAAAAAGGAAUAUCAUCAAGUCCCACUAUUCUCAGACGGACUUGCUCUUGUUAUAGUAAGGAACCUCAUGUAGCUGCUCAGGCUGUGUGCAGCUUAGCACACAGUUUGAAAGCAAAAAAUCUGGGGUAGGAAUGGAGCCAGUACAACACUCAGACCCCCUUCAAAAUGGAAUCCACUGGACUGUGGAUUCUGAAGUGGACCAGUAAUCUCACAUGAGUAAUGAACAAGAUUUUCUAGCAGUGUAGCAUGUUUGUGUAGGACUUUUCAUUUUAUUAACGAAAACGAAUCUCUGUGGGUUUCCAAAAAUCAUUAUGAAUUACUGGAAGCAAUAACGACAUUACUGAAAGUUGAGCCAAAUUUCUCAUUUUGUCUGAAUCUUUUUAAAAUAAAUAAAUAAAUCUAAGCCUAAAAGCUAGACAUGCACAAAGAGGGAGAUGGCAUAUUCUGGAAAGCAUGCAGUUUGCAGAAAGGAUCCCUGUAGUAAAACUUAAGUGUGUGCUCUGUAUUAUUCUUAAGAGAGAGAGAGAAAGGGAAAGAAGAAAACUCUUAACACUGCAUGACCUCCGGAACUAGACAUGCUGAGGCUGGACAAUAUUGAAGCCAGGAACAGAGAGGUUUGGGAUAAAAGGCUUUGUGAUAGCAAUCUCUGCCUCCCAUGCCCUCUGCACGACGGCUUAAAUAUCUCCUCCUUGGACAAACAGAUCAAUAUAAGCUUUUAAACAUCCUCAAUGAGAGCUCAUUAAUGCUCUCCUAGUGUCCUCUUUUGCGCCCUAAUGACCUGGUGGGAGCAGGAGAAGUGUGACAAUUAUCACAGGCAUAACACAUCAGAUCAUUUCUCAACACAAUAUGAAUUGUUUUCGCAAUUAUUCAGGGCAGCAGCAAGCGAAAGUGAUAACAAAUUGAGAAUAAUAAUGAUAUACGUUGCGAUGUUUUGGGGGCAUGUGAAAUAGGGACAAAUAUGCUGGGUUAAAUGUUAACUUAGCAGGACAUGGGGCUUUGGCAUUCCACGCACCAUGCUGAUUACCAUUCUGCCACUUCCUCUCCUCCUCAUUACAUAAUCUGCAACGGCAAAGUCAUCUGAUACUGUAGGUGGUGAGGAUAACAGAACCAAAGAAAAACACACACUAGUCUUCACCAUGGGCUGGGGCCAGUGGUGUAGUGGUGGUGGUGGGGCACAGGGGUGGUUGUCCUGGGUGCAAAAUUGUUAGGGGGCACAAAAUUUUAACUGUUGGUGCUGCCUCAAUAUAGCUGCACGCUUCUGUCUCUGGGCUUCAUUGAAAACGUCUUCUCCAUGCAAACUUUGAAGUGACUACUCCUGACAACAGAGUGACUCUUCUUUUCUUAUCUCUGUGGCUGCAGUCUCUGGGGUGAUGCAGAUGCCAUUAGGCAGUUGAAUGUGCAUGUGUCCUUUUUCUGUUUCCCUCCCUCCCCACAGCCAUGUGGCCCCGGACAUGGGCAACCCAUGCUAUGCCUCUGGCUGGGCACUGGAGGCUGUGCCCCCUUCUUCCCAGGAAGAUCACCAUAUCAGUCAGGAGACCAACCCGUCCACAUACAUCACCUAGGAAAAGAGAGUUUGCUUGCCUACUUCCUGCAAGAAAGAACUCCAACUGUUUCUUAAUACCAAUGCUCCAAUGCUUCUUAAUACCAGUUGCUGGAAACCAUAGGAAACCACAGGAGGGGAGAGUGCUUUCAUGCUCAGGUCCUUCUCACAGGUUCCCCACAGCAUUUUAGUCCAAUUUUCUCCUAAUAUGCACAUUUUUGUGUGCAAUUUUGAAUAAUAUACGCAUUUUUGCAAUGCAAAGUUUCCUGAUAUAACACAUUUUUGCUUGAAAGUGACGUGAAUAUAUGCAUUUAUAUGUAUUCCUGACCUUAGCAUAUGGAUAUUUUUAUGUAUUGCCUGGCAGAAGAAUGGCCUUGCAAAUUUCAGAGAAAUGCGAAUGCUGAAAGGUCACUGUGUUUGUUUGCAACUAGCUUUGUAGAGUGCAAAUGAGGUAGUUUAGCCUUUAAAUGCACAUUGAAUUGAAUUCCUUCCCCAACUCAACUGGCACUACCUCCCAUUGAAUAGAACACCAAUUUUCUCAUCCAAGUAAAGAUGUCUAGUAUUAGACUGACUUGCAGGCUGGGCAGGGGUGGGGGAGAUUAGUGGACCACUUUCUUAUCCCUUUGAAAUAUUUGAAUAAUAUUUCCAAGCACAAUUCAAAGUGUUGGUGCUGACCUUUGAAGCCCUAAAUGACCUCGGCCCAGUAUACCUGAAGGAGUGUUUCCACCCCUAUCAUUCAGCCCAAACACUGAGGUCCACCUCCAAGGGUCUUCUGGUGGUUCCCUCACAGAGAGAAAUGAAGUUACAGGGAACCAGGCAGAGGACCUUUUUGGUAGUGGUGCCCACCCUGUGGAACAACUCCCCCCCCAUCAGAUGUCAAGGAGUUAAAGAACUACACAAAUUUUAAAGGACAUCUGAAGGCAGCCCUGUAUCAGGCAGUUUUUAAUGUUUGGAUUUGGAUUUGAUAUCCCACUUUAUCACUACCCGAAGGAGUCUCAAAGCAGCUAAUAUUCUCCUUUCUCUUCCUCCCCCACAACAAACACUCUGUGAGGUGAGUGGGGCUGAGAGACUUCAGAGAAGUGUGACUGGCCCAAGGUCACCCAGCAACUGCAUGUGGAGGAGCGGAGACACAAACCCGGUUCCCCAGAUUACGAGUCUAUCGCUCUUAACCACUACACACACUGACAUUUUAUUAUGUUUUUAUAUUUACUGGAAGCCCAGCCAGAUGAGUGGGGUAUAAGUAAUAAAAUUAUGAUUAUGAUUAUGAUUUGUGAAUUAUUCACCUUCACUACUUUAUUUAAAAAAUGGACACUUCAGUCAAUUUAAGUCAUUUCUCAAACAUGCAUUUUACUUACAGACCUGGGUGUGUAUGUGUGUCCUUGGCCAAUUUUCGUUCAAUGUCUUUAUAAGCGACUUGAAUAAAGGUGUUGAGCGAUGCUCAUCUAAUUUGCAGAUGACACCAAACUGGAAGGGGUAGCUAAUGCAGCAAAAUACAGAAUCAGAAUUCUAUAUGUCCUUAACAGAUUGGAGAACUGGGCCCAAAUUUCAAUAGGGACAAAUGUAAGGUCCUGCACUAAGGCAGGAAGAACCAGAUGCAUAAAUAUAAGAUGGGGGACACCUGGUUUGCCAUUAUUACAUGUGAAAUGGAUCUAGGGAUCUUAAUAGACCACAAGCUUCACGUGAGUCAACAGCAAAAAAGCAAAAAAAGUAGCAAUACAGCAGCAAAAAAAGUAAUGUUUUUCUAGGCUGAAUCAACAGAAUUAUAGUGUCUAGCAAAGGAAGUAAUAGUACCACUCUAUUCUGCCUUGGUCAGACCACACCUGUGUAGUUCUGGGCUCCACAAUUUAAGAAGGAUAUUGACAAGCUGGAACAUGUGCAGAGGAGGGUGACCAAAAUGAUCAAGGGUUUGGAAACUGAGCCUUAUGAAAAAUGGUUUGAUUUGUUGUUGUUUAGUCAUUUAGUCAUGUCUGACUCUUCGUGACCCCAUGGACCAGAGCACGCCAGGCAGCCAACUUCAAAUAUCUAAAGGGUUGUCACGUGGAAGAUGGAACAAGCUUGUUUUCUUCUGUUCUGGAGGGUAGGACACGAACAAAUGGCUUGAAGUUGCAAUAAAGGAGUUUCCAACAUCAGGAAGAGCUUUCUGACUGUAAGAGCUGCUUAGGAGGUUGUGGACUCUCCUUCAUUGGAGGUUUGUAAGCAGAGGUUGGGUGUCCAUCUGCCAUGGAUGCUUCAGCUGAGAUUCCUUCAUUGGAUGAGCUUGGAUUAGAUGACUAGAUGACUGUGGGAGUUCCUUCCAACUCUGCAAUUCUAAUGCAAAACUAUGCCUACUACAGGAACCAUAGGUGUCGGGUCCAGAGGGCCCUGGGUGUUCUAGCCCCCCCCAAUUCCCCCUGAGGUACCCACAAACUUUGGUGGCAUGUGUGCUGGGCACCUGCACCCACAAACUUUGGGCAUCCACAAACUUUGGUGGCAUGUGUGCUGGGCAGCUUGCCCAGUGCUGCGUGUGUCUGAUGUCAGCAUGCCCAGCAGUGUGCUAGGAAUGUCACUCACAAAUGCUACCAGGAGUGCUGAAGUCAGCGUGCGCGCCCAAUAGCAUGUGUGGCCCAUGGCACCCGCAGUUGCAAGCCAGCACCACUCGCAGGAACAGGAAUGGGCAGCGAGUAUGAAAUGAUAGCCAUUACAUCACCUUUCAGUGCAAACAAAACUAUUCCCCCCAUUCCAACCACCUGGCCACACCAUAAAACCCUGGCUGCCACAAACUAGCUGGGCUUGGGAUGUGGCCAUAGAACUUCAUCACCACCCUCGCCCUCCCUUUCCCACUCAGGAUUGCUCUCCUCAUCUUGUUUCUUUAUCACCUUCUCUGAGCAGUUCCUCAUUAUUGCCACGGUCCACAUUGGUCGGUUGCUGACACCCCACCCUCUCCCUGAAUUCGAAAUGGAAACGAUGCAGGAAGCUGAAAGUUUUGCAGGCUCUCUAAUCUUGACACAGAGCCUCUGGGGUUUUUUGGGGAAGGCCCAACCUGUCAACUCUCCUCACCGGCAAUUCAUUACAGAGCAGCACCAAGCGAGGUGUUGGAACGGGGAGAUGACACUUUCUUUUAAGGAACAAAAAAGAAGCAGUGUUCUAUUUUAGCGACUUUUUUAAUUCUUGUUUUUAGUGCAAGAAUUUAAUUAUACAUAUUCCCCCCCCCAUUUCUUAUAUUCUGACAUAUUAAUUAAGGGUGCUCUGAUUCAUUUCCUGUGGCACUAUUGGCCUAUUCUGUAAAAACAUGUGACUGUUUUUGUACAAAUAUAUAUAUAUAUCAGCAGGUAGGUAAAGGCAACGCCUCAGUUUUCUGCCUACACACUGCCAUUUCUUCUUGUCAUUGAAACAGAAGGCUAAUUAUUUUCUAAAUAACCUGAUCGUUUCCUCUACCGGCAUGAGAUCUUACUGAAUAUCAUACACAGGGUAUUGCAUUUCAGAAAUCAGCCGAUUGCUAUAACUUCAGCUAAUGGAGACCACAGGCCAUGUUGCGAGGUGCCUGCCUGGUGUCCUAGAGGAUAAACCAGGGUACCAAGGGAAUAACUAAAUAAUGGGAAGAAGAGAGAAAUGCCACCUGGGCACCCUAUUACCUUAUAGAACCUUAUUAAGCUAGGAGAUUUGUCUAAAAGAGUGCCUGUUAGAUCUACAUCUAAGUUCAUUUAGAUCAGGAAUGGGUAUCCUAUCCUGAUGCUGUUGGACUCCAGCUCUCAUCUAUUAGUUUGGUUCAUUUCUCAGGAUAUUGUUACAGGAAAGUGCCAUAGCUCAGUGGUAGAGCAUCUGCUUUGCAUGCUGAAGGCCCCAGGUUCAAUCCCUGGCAUCUCCAGGUAGGGAUGGGAAGAACUCACUGUCUUGUAAUUGUGGAGAGCCACAAUCAUCCUGUCCUGAAAUUGUGGACGGUCACUGUGCAAACAGUACUGUAUGCUUGUGAAACACUGACCACUUAUAAAUGCCUUCUCCAACUCCUCGAAAGAUUCCAUCAAUGGUGUCUCCGAAAAAUUUUACACAUCACUUGGAAAGACAGGCAAACCAAUAUCAGUGUACUGGAAGAAGCAAAGAUCACCUGUGUUGAAGUGAUUCUUCAACAUCAACUUCGUUGGACUGGUCAUGUUGUGUGGAUGCCUGAUUAUCGUCUUCCAAAGCAACUACUCUAUUCUGAACUUAAAAAUGGAAAGCGUAAUGCUGGUGAUCAACAAAAGAGGUUUAAAGACUCUGUCAAGGCAAAUAAAAAAACAAAACAAAAACGUAGUUUAAACACCGACAACUAGGAAACACUGGCCUGCGAGGGCUCCAAUUGGAGAACAGCCUUUACCAAAGGUGUCAUGGUCUUUGAAGACGCUUGAACUCAGGACUCGAACUCAGGACGAAAGGGAGAAAUGUGCUAAGAGGAAAGCACACUUGGCAAACCCUCACUGUGAUCAAACUAUGUCCCCACUGUGGAAGGAAUUGGCCUCCACAGUCACUUACAGACUCACUGUUAAAACUGUGUUUAUGGAAGGCAAUCUUACUCGGCUAUGAGUGAUCGCCAAAGAGAAGAAAGAGAAAGAGAUGUGGCAAUGAUCUGAUUCAGGCUAAGGCAGUGUUCCUAUGUUUCAUUUGUUCACUGAAUCUGUUUCCUCAUUUUGCCCAAUGGUAGGGCCAACUGACAGGUUGUUGAAGUUAUCUUUGAGAUUUUGAGAUUGAACAAUGGGUGGUGGCAGUGUACACAUCAUACAUUUAAAGCACACCCCCCCCCAAGAAUCCUGGGAACUGUAGAUUGUUAAGGGUGCUGUAGCUCUGCAAGGGGUAAACUAGAGUUCCCAGGAUUCUUGGAAGGCAUUUGUGCUUCAAAUAUGCUUUUCAUGUAUGGUGUGUACAUAGUUUCGACGCAUAGAAUUGUACAGUUAGAAGGGACCACAAGGCCUAAAGUGCAGUACUAUUUUGCUCAAUGUGGGGCUUGAACCCACAACCCUGAGAUGAAAUGUCUCCUCCUCUACUGACUGAGCUUAACAUGAGUCAGGAAGAUCCUUUUUUGGUGAAGCGUUAAACAUUCUUUCAUGCCAACUGGAUGUUACACAAGCUGGUCAAAAAUGGAUAAUUUCCUUUUCCUCCACAACUGAACACAUGCACAAAUAGAAAAGCUGAAGAAAUUUGAAAAUGGACACAAUUUGAGCAAUGGUUUAAUGGGGGGAAAUGCAUAGAUCCCUAGCUGUAGUUGCUUCUUGGUAAUUUAAGGUGAAACCCUUAACACAAUGGCUUAUUAUAUUCUUGGUUGAAAGGGGAAAAAAGUGAUGCUUAAUUAAUCUUUACAAAGUACUGCCAGACCUUUAAUUAAAGGUCAGUCUAAUAGUGCAAAACCACUCAUAAUGAUUAUGAUUUUAUUCUUGGCGUCCACCUUGGGUUGGAAAUGAUGAGACUGGAAUAUUUGAAUAAUGUUAUUGCGGAUCAUCUGCUGACCAAGUUAAAGGUCAUGAACUUCAGCCUUCUUCAACCUGGUGCCCUCAGAUGUUUUGGAUUAUAAUUCCCACCAGUCCCCAAUAACAUGGCUUGGGAAAGCCUAGCUUACAGUUUAUAAUGGCUAGAAGAACAUCUAGCAUAUCAAGGGUAUGUGAUGGUGUGUGCAUGUGUGUAUAUCUAUAUAUUUAUCUAUAUUCCAUAAGAACCCUAGGAACUCCCUAGGGCCAAUAUGCAAAGAACAAAAUAAUAAUGAGCCAGAUUCAAUCUUAUUGCACCUUUUAAAAAUGGCUUUUCUAGUUGGCUUCUCAAAAAGCUGGGUUUAAUUCUCACUGCUCUGCUUGUGCCAGUCUCAUUCCGGCAAUAGUAGUGCAAUAUCCCCUCAAUAUCCCCUUCAUGGAUCACUGCCUUGCCGUGGCGAAGAAGCUUGAAUAACUCAGAGAAGCUAUGAGCUAUGCUGUGCAGGGCCACCCAAGAUGGACAGGUCAUAGUGGAGAGUUUUGACCAAACGUUAUCCACCUGGAGCAGGAACCGGCAAGCCACUCCAGUAUCCCUGCCAAGAAAACUCCAUGGACAAAGGCAACAGGCAUAUAAAAGUUAUGAUGUUGGAAGAUGAGCCCCUCAGGUCGGAAGGCAUCCAACAUGCUACUGAGGAAGAGCGGAGGACAAGUACAAGUAGAUCCAGAGCUGAUGAAGCGGCUGGGCCAAAGCCGAAAGGACGCUCAGUUGUGGAUAUGCCUGGAAGCAAAAGGAAAGUCCAAUGAUAUAAAGAAAAAUAUUGCAUCGGAACCUGGAAUGUAAGAACCAUGAAACCGGGUAAGUUGGAUGUGGUCAAAAAUGAGAUGGCAAGAAUAAAUAUUGACAUCCUGGGCAUCAGUGAACUAAAAUGGAUGGGAAUGGGCGAAUUCAGUUCGGAUGACCAUCAUAUCUACUACUGUGGGCAAGAAUCCCGUAAAAGAAAUGGAGUGGCCCUCAUAGUCAACAAAAGAGUGGCAAAAGCUGUAGUGGGAUGCAAUCUCAAAAAUGAUAGAAUGAUCUCGAUACGAAUCCAAGGCAGACCUUUUAACAUCACAGUAAUCCAAGUUUAUGCACCAACCACUAGUGCUGAAGAAACUGAAAUUGACCAAUUCUAUGAAAUCUUACAACACCUUAUAGAAAUGACACCAGAGAAGGAUGUUCUUCUCAUUAUAGGGGAUUGGAAUGCCAAAGUAGGGAGUCAAGAGAUAAAAGGAACAACUGGCAAGUUUGGCCUUGGAGUUCAAAACGAAGCAGGGCAAAGGCUAAUAGAGUUCUGCAAAGAGAACAAGCUGGUCAUCACAAACACGCUUUUCCAACAACACAAGAGACGACUCUACACAUGGACAUCACCAGAUGGGCAGCAUCGAAAUCAGAUUGUUUAUAUUCUCUACAGCCAAAGAUGGAGAAGCUCUAUACAGUCAGCAAAAACAAGACCUGGAGCUGACUGUGGCUCAGAUCAUAGAAUCAUAGAAUCAUAGAGUUGGAAGAGACCACAAGGGCCAUCGAGUCCAACCCCCUGCCAAGCAGGAAACACCAUCAGAGCACUCCUGACAUAUGGUUGUCAAGCCUCUGCUUAAAGACCUCCAAAGAAGGAGACUCCACCACACUCCUUGGCAGCAAAUUCCACUGUCGAACAGCUCUUACUGUCAGGAAGUUCUUCCUAAUGUUUAGGUGGAAUCUUCUUUCUUGUAGUUUGGAUCCAUUGCUCCGUGUCCGCUUCUCUGGAGCAGCAGAAAACAACCUUUCUCCCUCCUCUAUGUGACAUCCUUUUAUAUAUUUGAACAUGGCUAUCAUAUCACCCCUUAACCUCCUCUUCUCCAGGCUAAACAUGCCCAGCUCCCUUAGCUGUUCCUCAUAAGGCAUCGUUUCCAGGCCUUUGACCAUUUUGGUUGCCCUGCUCUGGACACGGUCCAGUUUGUCAGUGUCCUUCUUGAACUGUGGUGCCCAGAACUGGACACAGUACUCCAGGUGAGGUCUGACCAGAGCAGAAUACAGUGGCACUAUUACUUCCCUUGAUCUAGAUGCUAUACUCCUAUUGAUGCAGCCCAGAAUUGCAUUGGCUUUUUUAGCUGCCGCGUCACACUGUUGGCUCAUGUCAAGUUUGUGGUCAACCAAGACUCCUAGAUCCUUUUCACAUGUACUGCUCUCCAGCCAGGUGUCACCCAUCUUGUAUUUGUGCCUCUCAUUUUUUUGCCCAAGUGCAAUACUUUACAUUUCUCCCUGUUAAAAUUCAUCUUGUUUGUUUUGGCCCAGAUCUCUAAUCUGUCAAGGUCGUUUUGAAGUGUGAUCCUGUCCUCUGGGGUGUUACCCACCCCUCCCAGUUUGGUGUCAUCUGCAAAUUUGAUCAGGAUGCCCUUGAGUCCAUCAUCCAAGUCAUUGAGAAAGAUGUUGAAUAAGACCGGGCCCAAGACAGAACCCUGUGGCACCCCACUAGUCACUUUUCUCCAGGAUGAAGAGGAACCAUUGAUGAGCACCCUUUGGGUUCGGUCAGUCAGCCAGUUACAAAUCCACUGAGUGGUAGCAUAGUCAAGACUGCAUUUUACCAGCUUCUUUACAAGAAUAUCAUGGGGCACCUUGUCAAAUGCCUUGCUGAAAUCAAGGUAGGCUACAUCCACUGCAUUCCCUUCAUCUACCAGGCUUGUAAUUCUGUCAAAAAAUGAGAUCAGGUUAGUCUGACAUGAUUUUUUUUUCAGAAAUCCAUCAGCUUCUUAUAGCAAAAUUCAAGCUUAAACUGAAGAAAGUAGGAAAAACCACUGGGCCAGUAAGAUACAAUCUAAGUCAAAUUCCUUGUGAAUACACAGUGGAAGUGAGGAACAGGUUUAAGGAUUUAGAUUUGGUAGACAGAGUGCCUGAAGAACUAUGGAUGGAGGCUCGUAACAUUAUACAGUUGGCAGCAACUAAAACCAUCCCAAUGAAAAGGAAAUGCAAGAAAGCAAAGUGGCUGUCCAACAAGGCCUUACAAAUAGCGGGGGAGAGAAGGCAAGCAAAAUGCAAGGGAGAUAGUGAAAGAUACAGGAAAUUGAAUGCAGAUUUCAAAAAAAUAGCAAGGAGAGACAAGAAGGCCUUCUUAAACGAGCAAUGCAAAGAAAUAGAGGAAAACAAUAGAAUGGGAAAAACCAGAGAACUGUUCAAGAAAAUUGGAGAUAUGAAAGGAACAUUUCAUACAAAGAUUACCAUAAUAAAAGACAAAAGUGGAAAGGACCUAACAGAAGCAGAAGAUAUCAAGAAGAGGUGGCAAGAAUACACAGAGGAACUAUACCAGAAAGAAAUGGAUGUCUCGUAUACCCCAGGUAGUGUGGUUGCUGACCUUGAGCCAGACAUCCUGGAGAGUGAAGUCAAAUGGGCCUUAGAAAGCACUGCUAAUAACAAGGCCAGUGGAAGUGAUGAUAGUCCAGCUGAACGAUUUAAAAUUUUAAACGAUGAUGCUGUUAAUGUGCUACACUCAAUAUGCCAGCCAAUUUGGAAAACUCAGCAGUGGCCAGAGGAUUGGAGAAGAUCAGUCUACAUCCCAAUCCCAAAGAAGGGAAGUGCCAAAGAAUGCUCCAACUACCGCACAAUUGCACUCAUUUCACACGCUAGCAAGGUUAUGCUUAAAAUUCUACAAGGCAGGCUUAAGCAGUAUGUGGACCGAGAACUCCCAGAAGUGCAAGCUGGAUUUCGAAGGGGCAGAGGAACCAGAGACCAAAUUGCAAACAUGCACUGGAUUAUGGAGAAAGCUAGAGAGUUCCAGAACGACAUCUACUUCUGCUUCAUUGACUAUGCAAAAGCCUUUGACUGUGUCGACCACAGCAAACUAUGGCAAGUUCUUAAAGAAAUGGGAGUGCCUGAUCACCUGAUCUGUCUCCUGAGAAAUCUCUUUGUGGGACAAGAAGCUACAGUUAGAACUGGAUAUGGAACAACUGACUGGUUCAAAAUUGGGAAAGGAGUACAGCAAGGCUGUAUACUGUCUCCCUCCUUAUUUAACUUACAUGCAGAAUUCAUCAUGCGAAAGGCUGGGCUGGAUGAAUCCCAAGCCGGAAUUAAGAUCACUGGAAGAAAUAUCAACAGCCUCAGAUAUGCAGAUGACACAACUUUGAGGGCAGAAAGUGAGGAGGAAUUAAAGAACCUUUUAUUGAGGGUGAAAGAGGAGAGCGCAAAAUAUGGUCUGAAGCUCAACAUAAAAAAAAACACGAAGAUCAUGGCCACUGGGCCCAUCACCUCCUGGCAAAUAGAAGGGGAAGAAAUGGAGGCAGUGAGAGAUUUUACUUUCUUGGGCUCCAUGAUCACUACAGAUGGUGACAGCAGCCACGAAAUUAAAAGGCGCCUGCUCCUUGGGAGAAAGGCGAUGGCAAACCUAGACAGCAUCUUAAAAAGCAGAGACAUCACCUUGCCAACAAAGGUCCGUAUAGUUAAAGCCAUGGUUUUCCCGGUAGUGGUGUAUGGAAGUGAGAGCUGGACCAUAAAGAAAGCUGAUCGCCGAAGAAUUGAUGCUUUUGAAUUAUGGUGCUGGAGGAGACUCUUGAGAGUCCCAUGGACUGCAAGAAGAUCAAGCGCAUCCAUUCUUAAGGAAAUUAGCCCUGAGUACUCACUGGAAGGAAAGAUCGUGAAGCUGAGGCUCCAAUACUUUGGCCACCUCAUGAGAAGAGAAGACUCCCUGGAAAAGACCCUGAUGUUGGGAAAGAUGGAGGGCACAAGGAGAAGGGGACGACAGAGGACGAGAUGGUUGGACAGUGUUCUCGAAGCUACAAAUAUGAGCCUGACCAAACUGCGGGAGGCAGUGGAAGACAGGAGUGCCUGACGUGCUCUGGUCCAUGGGGUCACAAAGAGUCGGACAUGACUAAACGACUAAACAACAACAACAAAUCCCCUCAACAUAUAAUGCACUAGAAACAGGUUGUCCAUGAGAUGGAUCCAAUAAGGAGAUAGAAGCCCCCAGUCAGAGGGGGGGAGGAAAUCACACCAAGGUAGCAUCAGAACAUGAAACAAUCGCACUCAGCAGAACUGAGGAAAGGUGAAUAUUCACAUACAAAUUCCCAUGCAGAUUUUGACACAUCUCCCUAGUAUUUAUACCCUACAGCAUGGGAAGCCAGCACGAUGCCCUUCAAAUUUUGUUGGGUUCCAACUCCCGCCAGCCCCAGGCAGGGUGGUCAAUAGCCAGAGAACAUGAGAGCUGUAACCCAAUAACAUAUUGAGGGCACUACGCCCUACUUUAUCUGAGUACAGCCCAAUUCAGGUAUUCUUACUCACAUAGUUAGUAUCACAUGAGGGAGGAAACCGGGGACACACCUGCCUGGCCCUCCUGUCAUAUUUCUGUUGCCCAGCCUAGUCUCCUUCCACACAUUGGAGGGGCAGGGGGAGAUCUGGAUAACAUAAGAACAUAAAAAGAGCCAGCUGGAUCAGGCCAAUGGUUCACUACCCUGACCUCAUCGUAGCCAACCAGAGGCCUGUGGGGAACCUGCAAGCAGGACUCAAGUGCAAGAGUCCUCUCCCCUCAUGUAGCUUCCAGCAACUGGUAUCAGAAGCAUUUCUGACACUGACUAUGGAGGCAGAACAUAGCCAACAUGCCUCGUCGACAUCCUCCUCCAUGAAUUUGUAGAAUUCAUUUCUAAAGCCAUUCGAGUUGGUGGCCAUCACUGUCUGCUGUGGGAUUGAGUCCCUUAGUGUAUGCACCUGUGUGAAGAAGGACUUUCUGUUUUGAAUCAUCCAGUGGUCAGCUUCAGCCCACAGGUUGCAGAGUUUGAGAGAGGGAGGAAAGAAAUAAUAUUUGCCUAUCCCCUUUCUGUUGUCUUUGUCCAUGGAGUUUUCUUGGCAGAGAUACUGGAGUGGCUUGCCAGUUCCUGCUCCAGGUGGCUCACGUUUGGUCAAAACUCUCCACUAUGACCUGUCCAUCUUGGGUGCCCUGCUCAGCAUAGUUCACAGCUUCUCUGAGUUAUUCAAGACCCUUCGCCAUGGCAAGGCAGUGAGUUUGACCGAACUGCGGGAGGCAGUGGAAGACAGGAGUGCCUGGCGUGCUCUGGUCCAUGGGGUCAUGAAGAGUCGGACAUGACUAAACGACUAAACAACAACAUCCCCUUUCUCCAUCAUAUGCAUAGUUUUGCUAACUUUUGCUGCAGAACAUAGACAGUGGUAGGGCCUACCUAGCUGACCUGAAGGCAAUGGGGAGGGUCAGCAAGACAAGCUUUUCCUAUCAUCCAAGCAAGGAAGAACGCCUGAACAUAAAUGAAGUGACUGCAGAACUCCCCCCUUUUUAUUUUUAUCCCCACCUUCAUUUCUGUGUUGUUUCAUGUGUUUUUAUAUCUAGAUUGCAAUCCCCUUGGGUCUGGGGCCUGUCCUCUGGGUCAUUGUAAAGCACCAACUAUGUGGAUGGAGAGCCACAUUAAAUCUUCAUCAUCUGUUGUUGUUUUUUUGGAGGGAAAAUAAGAUUCAGAAAUGGAAACUGAAGAAAAUUCUCAACAGAAAGUUUGCAUCUUCAAUCUGAUUUAUUUGUUUAUGUUCCUCCCUGCUCCUCCAAAUGGAUAACUCCUCAGGCACUCCUGAUUCCACAACAGAAUUCUAAACAGAGUAUUUGUGCCCAAAAAGCAACACAAACAAGAUCCAGGCACUUAGCUUUUACCUCUUGCGGCUGAAACGCUGUGAACCACUUAUGAAUUAUUCCCACGAGUAAUUUUUGUAAUCUUCACCCCCUCCUUCCACUCCCCCUUUUUUUGCAAUUUCCUUAGCAUACCUUGACUAUCUGUCUGUCUGUCCAUCUAUCUAUCUAUUUAUCUAUCUAUCUCUCCUAAAUUAGGCAUAAGCCAGCAAUAGUAUGUGUUGGACUCCCGUUUGUGAAUAAAUGAGAUGUGCCGAUGCCAAAAUGUUGGUAAAAGGGGAUUAAAGAGGCGAGGGCUGCUUUUUCCACCUCAGUGGUUUUGAGUCGCUAUUAAGAGGGAUGGAUUAAUAUCAGAUUCCUGGUAUCUGCCUCCUCGCUGAUAUUGCUUAAUUAUCCAGAUAAGUGAUCAGAAUCCAAGCAUGAGCAGCAUAAAUACGAAGGACAUCAUCGCUUUAUAUGUAUAAAAUGUGUUUAUUAGUUUAAGCAUCAUAAAAAGCAGUGGCAAAGUGCUCGUUAAAGGUUACAUUUAGAGCACUUUUUAGAUGCUCGUUUUGGGUUAGUUACCCUCUGGAAAGAAAACUGUUGUUCAUUUAUUUGCUGAAAGGCACAGCCGUGUGCUUAAGAGGCUCCUGUUGACACUGGACUUCAUGCUCUGGUUUUUGCAGAGGGGGCUUUCCCUCAGCUCCCGAUCCAAUUAUUUCACCUCCCUUCCAUUUUCAUUCUUGAAGCCCCCCACCCCCCACCUCAGACCCUUACCCUCAGAUUAAGAGGGUGGGCCUCUCAGCUUCCCUCGGGUUACAUCAGAGGCUGCAAACAUCUGGCAUCCCAGCUCAAGCUGUGGAGGGAAGGGCCAGGUAUUCCCAGACUGCUUCGCUAGGCCCAAAAGCUACUGUGUGGCAGCGUUUGCUCUGAUUACUGGUAAUUAUCAGACAGUGACCCACUCUGGGCGUGCAUGCCUGAGGUCCUCAGAGGUUUGGCUUCAUUUGCGACAGAGACAGAAUCCUGAAUUGAGGCUCAAGUCGAGUUGGUGAAAUGCUCUCCCGAUUCUCAUUCUUUGCCACUUCAGUUUCAAAAGUCCCUGCUUUUCAAAACGCCACAGAUAAAACAAUUUCAAUGAAUUUUGAGGGAGGCCAAAAGCUAGCAAAUAAUAAUCAUAAUCACCUGGUGGCGAAAAGUGGGACAUACAUGUCACAGACAUUGGCAGAUUUCACCUGAUUUCCCCUCACUUUGCAGAAGGGUAGAAUAUCUUCUUUGCAUGCAGACGGCUGCUGGUUCAAUCCACAGGGUCUCCAAAAAGACCCCCCUGAUCUGAAAUCCCGGAGAUCCGUUGCCAACAUUGAGCUGGAUGGACAAAUGGUCUGACUCCACAUAAAAAUUAUGUUCCUUUGUCUGCACAGCAGCUAUUAAGAUUCCAGGGAGAAAUUGGGCAAAGUGAACUGCAACUCAUAUCUCAGUGGCCAUAGUUCAGCCUUGGAACAAGGCCCAGAGGCACUGGACACUGAUAAUAGAAUCAUAGAAUUAUAGAGUUGGAAGGGAUUCCGAGGGUCAUUUAGUCGAAGUCCCUGCAAUGCAAGAAUCUCCACUAAAUCAUCCAUGAGAGAUGGUCAUCCAGCCUCUGCUUAAAAACCUCCAAUGAAGGCAAGUCCACCACUUUCCAAGCGAGUCUGUUCAACUGUUAAACAGCUCUUACUGUCAGAAAGUUCUUCCUGAUGUUGAGUCUGAAUCUUAUUUGUUGUUACGUGAAGCCAUUGGUACAGGACUUAGUCUCCAGAGCAGGAGAAAACAAGCUUGCUUCAAUUUCCACGUGACAGCCCUUUAUAUAUUUGAAGGUGGCUAUCAUAUCUCCUCUUGGUGCUCCUUUUUUUGUCACUGUGAACAUACCCAACUUCCUCAAGCAUUCCUCAUAAGGCUUGGUUUGCAGACCAUUGAUCAUCUUGGUUGCCCUCAUUCCAGCUUGUCAAUAUCCUUCUUAAAAUGGGGUGCCCAGAACUGGACACAGUACUCCAGUUAUGGUCUGCCCAAGGCAAAAAAAAGAGGUCCUAUUACUUCCCUUGAUCGGGACGGUAUAUUUCUGUUGAUAAAGUGAUGUCUUCUGUCAACUUGAAGGUUAACAGGAAGGGCUGUAGCUCACUGACAGAGCAUCUAUUUGCAUGCAGAAGGUUCCAGUUUCUCUCCUUGGCAUCUUCAUGUAGGGCUGGGAAUGUCUCCUGUCCGAAAUUCUGGAGAGACGCUGCUAGUCAGUGUAGACAACACCAGCCAAAAUGGACCAACGACAAGACAGUUUAUUGUGUUCCUAUGUUCAGCGAGAAGUUCUUCCUCAGACAAAAGAUUUAUUUUUAUUUUAAAAAAAUAUUUAACAUAAUUAUUACAAAAUGAAAGCAAAAUAUUGCAAAUACAUACAUACAUAUAUAUUUCAAAUAAGCACAUAUAUAUCUAUAUAAAAGAAGAAAAGAGAAAAAAAGAAGAAAAGAAAAAAGAAGAAAAAAUAGAGAGAAAAAGAAGAUAAGUUGGAAGAAUUUCUUCCAAGUUUAUUCUACAAAUAUCUCAACAUGAAAAUAAUAAUAAAAUUUCAUUGACUUCCAUCGCUUGCACUGCAAUUCCUAUAUACAUUUUAAGCAAGAUUGUAUCUGUUAUUCUGUAUUUCCCCCAUACAAUCUCACACAAAUAUUCCAAUCAAUAUGUUUUCUAAAUCUUUCAUAAAUCUAUUCUAAACACAACCAAUACCUUACAUUUAAUCCUUGUCUACAUAAAUAAUCAUUUAAACGAAGUAUAUUUUUUGGCAGUUUUAAAAUAUCAAAAAUCUGAGGAAGUUUGAGAAAAGGGGGGAAAUCCUUUUGAUAAAAGUAGGGCAGAUUCUGUGGGUAGCUUCACACUCCCUCUUUGUUGACCUUCCCUGUAAUAUCUCCACUGACCAAUCAGUUCAGGAUGCCUCUGCUACUGUCAUCGUUAUCUUCUGCAUCAUCCUCUCUUUGCAUUGCCAUUAGUUUAUCCUCAAAUUCUGUCUAACCUUCAGGAGUCCAAGCCUUACUUCCUAAAUUGCAUCAUUUUGUUGGGAAUCACAAGCAAGGAGGCUGCUGUUGCCCUCAGGUCCUGCUUUCGGGCUUCCCAUAGGCAUCUGGUAAGCUGCUGUGAGAAUAGGAUGAUAGACAAGAUGAGCCAUUGGCCUGAUUCACCUGGCUUCCCUCAUGUUCUCCUUUGCCAAGAAGGGAACAGUUUCGGCUUGAGAUUAUGGAAAUACAGCACAACUCAUCCUCUGUCAAUGAGAGAUGAUCACAACUUCAUCCUUCAUCCUACAAUGAAGAAGACACGCUUUAAAGACAGAAGUUGUCCUGUGUACACGGAGGGAAGAUUGGCACUUCUUGUAGACCGGAAGACAAGCACCACAAGUUUCUAAGAAAGAACUGUUAUUUGUUUAUUUAUCUUUUAAAAUAGUUCGGUGUCAUCCUUCAAUUAAAAAAGUAAGAAUGCUGAAAGCAGUUUACGACAAAAUCUAAUAUAUAUAUUAUUUAAUAAAAACAUAUUAAACGAAAACUAGUAAUUAAGGUAGUGUUCAACAGAAAUAAAAUCACAGCAAUUAAAAAACCUUCCUCUUCCCAGGAAUGGAGAGGAAAAAAGAGGUGUUCACUCUAAAAUCAGAAGAAUCUGGCUCUGUCAAUGUGUUUGCACUGUACCAAGCACCCUGCUCCUCUCCACCUUCACAGCAUGAAACAGUGACCCUCCUGCCAGGAAACCAGUUUAGCAGAUACACCCCACCUGGCAGAGGUGCUGAGUUCUGUGCAACGCAACCACAAACUUCACUGGGCCUCUCAACAUUACCUACCUCACAGGGUUAUUGUGAGGAUAAACAGAAAAGAGGGAGGACCAUGUCUGCCACUUUGAGCUCCUUGGACGAAACGUUGGAUUGAAAUGCUGUCAUAUUACGUUAUAUGUAUAUAUAUAUGGCUGAAUUAAAAUAAACCAGCAAAAGCUGUACCAUGUGUCUCCUUGACUGUAUAUUUUGUCACUAAGCUACAGAUCCACCUAUAGAAAUGGAUGCACAUGUUUAAUUGCUAAGGCAAAACAUCUCCCAACCACAGUAAUUACUCUACUCAGCAAGACCGAAAUUUUUGCACUUCUCAAAGCAAAUACUACCACCUGGGGCUGAGAUCAUGCCAGAAUCCAUGACCUAACGAAGGUCGGUCGGCGCCCUCUUUGCAUUGAAAACAUGCUCCAGAAACCUUGAGGUUGCAGCUGCAUCUAAUUAGUUUAAUUUUCUCCUCGGCUUCAGUGUCAGUCCAGCAGAAUAGGGAGGGCACAUUGUACAACAAGAGUCCUUUGACUGCUGGUGGCCAUCUUCUAUUAAAAAAAAACAACAACAACAUUCAAACACACGUCUUAAGAAAGUUAAAUGCAGAGUUAAAACAAAGGGAGAUCAAAUGCUAAGAAGCAAGGACAUGCAAAGUGUCUUGAGUGCCAGCAGAUUAAUAGAAAUCUAGGAAUGCAAUGUGAAGGUGUAAGAGUGACAGCUUUUUAUAUAAGUAGUGUGGUAUAGUGGUUGGACCAGCUGUUGCCAGCCUUGUGCACACCUCCCCAGAUUAUUACAACUUCCACCAGCUCCAGAAGUAAGUUGUAGCUCAAAACCUUUAGACGACACCAGGCUAGCAAAGGCUAGAUUAUAGAGUGUCAAACUCUGACCUAGAAGACCUAGGUUCAAAUCCCUAUUGUGUAACUCACUGGGAGACCAGUCUGUCUUUCCAGCCUACUUCACGGGGUUGUUGUGAAGAUAAAAUAAGAGCAGCAAAGGGCCUUGAAUGCCACUCCAAGCCGCUUAGAAGAAGGUUCACCUGUGGCUUCUUGUUCCACUAUACUAUUUAGGGUCCUCCAAUUGUCCAAAGAAGAUCAUGGAGAGGACAAGUUGUGCUGCAGAGAAUAGGGGAACCUACAGAUAUCAGUUCCUGCCUCUUCCAGGAUUUAUGAAUAGAUCUCUGCUCCUGGAAUAUCUGGUUCCAAUCUUAGUUUCCUUUAAGAAACCACUGAAGAAUUUAUGUGUGGACAGUCCAAUAUAAAUCCAUCACUAAUGCACUACUAUUGGACCAAUGACACAAUGCAGAAUACACCUACAAAAAAGCCAUCAGUCUGGAGGAGCCUACAUGCUUUAUGUACCCCAUAACAACAGACUUUAGAUGAGUCCCACUGAUCUCACUUUGCUGUCUGUCCACAGACCACCUCAUGGUGAAUUUCUGCCUGACACAUCUUUAUUGAAAAGUACUUUUACUUGCCUGGUUUUAAUUCCAAAGAAUCAGACAUACUAUCUGUUGUUACACACACACACACACACACACACACACACAGAGAGAGAGAGAGAGAGAGAGAGAGAGAGAGAGAGAUUUAGAUGUUAAGCAAUGUGCAGUUAGUGUUGGCAUGAAUUUAAAAAGCUAAAAUUAAAAAUGCAAGAAACUGUACCAUGGGUGCUAUUUGAUUGAGGUGUGUGUGAUUUCACGUACCAUCUUCCUCUGAACUCACCCGAGUGAUACAGGUCAUCCUUUCCCUUGCAUCUUGUCAAAUGCUUUGGACCCCUCUGGGAUGACAAGCACAAUAGAAAUCUGGAUGAUGAUUGUACAAUCCUUUCCUUGUAUUGCUAAUUUCCUCCACUUCUAAUCUCUUGGUUAGAUUAUAAUUAGGCUCUCUCCAGAGCCCUUAUCAAGUUGAGAAACUUUUUAAAAAAACUAACAAAAAGUUUCCUUUACAGGUAAGACAGUUUCAAAGUCAUUGUUCUUAAAAGCAGCAUUUGACUCCCACUCAUCCACAUAUUUUUUAUAAAGGACAAGAUGGAUUAAAAACAAAAACAAAAGGCGUGUAAGUAUUCAGAUGAGUUCAGUAUGGAUAGUCCAGUGAGAACUGCAAGCUUUUCAAUAUCUCCAGGGUUGCAGACAGAGACCUAUCUGAAGUCUACCAGGAGAUGUCAGGAAUUGACCUUCUACAUGCAAUGCAGGUAUCACUGAGCUACAGCUCUUAACUUUGAAUGAAAAAGGUGUGGGGGAACCACAGAAAAGGAGCCUAAAUUAAGGUUACCAGAUUUUUUUCAAAGAAUCCAGGGACACUUUUUUUUUUUUUAAGAGAGGGGAAAAAGUUAUUUUUUAAAAAAGUUUUUUUUAAAAAAGAAGAAGUAAUAUCUUCUCUUCUGUGGUCUCCUUUGUUGCACGGGCUUCCUCUGGGUCCCGGCUUGCUCUCUUGGAGUACUAGCCACCGUGGAGUAGGCUCGGGUCAGGCCUGGGCUUGGCCACAUGUCCUUGCCCUCCCAGUACUCUCCUACCUCUCCUCCUCAGCAGCAGCACGGCAAGGUCGGGGCUCCCCUCUUUUUUCUCAUUCCUCUUUCUCUCUCUUCCUUCUCCUUCUCCUCUCCUCCUUCUCCCUGCAUCAGCUCCGGGGUUUUCCUGGUCCCAGAGCGCUGCUGGGCAGUCAGCAGGGUGGCCGGGCGCUCUUGCUCCCAGCUCGAUUUGGGUCACGGGGUGGGUGUGUCAGCGGUUCCCCCUUGGCAGUGACAGUGGCAGUCUCAGCAGCCCAGAGCCAGCCUGGUAGCGCAGUUGGCUCUGGCUGGCUUCAGGAGCUGCUCGCUGCCGUGGCGCCCGCCAUUUUGCCUCGCCGGAAGUCCCCAUAUGAUGUGCAUUGUGCCGUUGAACCAAUCACGCAACAUUCAUUCCCUACUAAUAAAUUUACAAUGCUUAAAAUAUAAAUCCGGGGACAGAUUUCGUCCGGGGACAGAUUUGUAAAUGGGAGGACUGUCCCCGGGAAACGGGGACAUCUGGUAACCAUAGCCUUAAAUGCCUUAGGCUUAUGGUGCCUGAAAGUUCUCGCAGCGGCCAACCAGAUGCUCAUAGGAAGCCUCAAAGCAGGACCACUUUUGACUCCGAACAUGUGGCAUGCAGAAGCACAUGGCCUCUGACAGUGAAGGUGAAGCAUAGCCAACCUCUUUUGAUGCCUUUUAAAAAAUGCAUUCAUGGCCACCCUACCUCCCAGGUCCAUCCAUUGCCAGAUAACCUUAAAUGAAGACUGCUUCCCCUUUUCAUAACAUCACUCAUCUCUGAAUACAAUGUGACGAAGAUGAUGAUAAGGGCAUUUAUCUACCUAAUUGCAAUCUGUCCUCUGUCUGAUGUGACAAUUUGGGUUAAUUUCCAAAGAUCCUCUGCUUUCUGUAUCCUGAAAAGAUAUCACUAUAUACCCAAAAGGAAUCUGGAUCCCUCUCCCCUCCACACUGCCCGCCUUUUCUCCAGGGGAAAAAAUAUUAACACAAAUUCUUCCCUUUAACAAAACCAUCUUUUGAUUGGUGUAAGUGAGAGCCAUUACCUUUCUACAUUCUGCUUUCCCACCUUCUAUGGCAGCCUUCUCCAGCAGCGUUAACACAUCUCAAUUUAUGAGCCUCGUGUAGCAAGGGUCAAUGUAUUAAUAUGUUAAUAAUGCAAUGCUUUGCCAAUUAUGCUGGGGGGUUUUAUGUAGAGCCUCAAUUAAUUAUGUUAUAAUAUUUUGAUGGCAGGCUGAUUGCUAGCGUUGCAUAGCUGCAAUGUUAAAUGUUUAGAAGAUGAUAGACUGGGAUGCCUUAAUGGCCAUGUGGUUCAGUUUAAGGAUAAAAAGGUGAUCUGGACAGAGAUAACACUUUUAUGGGCUGUGCUGCAAUAUGUUUCAUUUGGGAUCUGCUGUGACAGCAGGAUUAAAGAUUUUGCUUAUUAUAAGAAAUAGCUUCAUUCCUUCCUUCAAGGCCAUGUUAAAUGGGAUGUUAGUCACAAAAAAUGAAUAUUGCAAUUUUUAAAAUAAAAAUUAAUCAUUGCCUUGUUGUCUUCACCACAUUCCUAAAGUGGACCCACCCCCACCCCCCAACAAACCCCAUAUCCACUGAAUAUUUUUUUUGGGGGGGGGGAGUUAGUAGUCCCAUCUGGGGGAUGAAGCCUGGCCAAUUUCAGGCAAAGUGGCGCAGGUUUUGGAGUGUGUUCUCUGCACCUUUAAAUGAUGCUUUUCUCUUUGGUUUUGUAGGCAAUUUGCAUUAACAUGGGUAUUUCAAAUUUCAGAGGCACCCUGUGCAAAGCCAGCAUUUGGCACCCCCUCACCUCUCGCCUCCAGACCUGCUCAAUUCACUAUGGCAUAGUUACGAUGUCCUGCAGCGCCGCCUAAGCUUGGCACCUGGUGUGGCAGAGAGCCAGUGUGGUGUAGUGGUUAAGAGCGGUAGACUCGUAAUCUGGGGAACCGGGUUCACUUCCCCGCUCCUCCACGUGCAGCUGCUGGGUGACCUUGGGCUAGUCACACCUCUCUGAAGUCUCUCAGCCUCACUCACCUCACAGAGUGUUUGUGGUGGGGGAGGAAGGGAAAGGAGAAUGUUAGCCGCUUUGAGACUCCUUCGGGUAGUGAUAAAGCGGGAUAUCAAAUCCAAACUCUUCUUCUUGUUGUUGUUGCACUGCCCUAAAUCUGCCUCUGGAUACGAUCCUGCGUAGUGCUUUUCUUCAUGGACUGUCUUCUGCUCCUUCACAAGCAGCUUCCGAUGCUGGGAAGCCAGUCACAGAGCAGGAGGAGCUAGCUCUGAACAGGAUCUGACGCUGAGUAGUGCUGCUUGGACAGCAUCACCUGCAUCACCACAGGAUUUAUGCAUACCCCAUAAGUGUCCUGGGAAAAACGGGACUUUCCCCACGAGAGCAUGGUGGUCAUUUGGGGCUCUGUGAUCUUGUGUGGGUCACGUGACUCAAACAGGGGCACAGACAGGAAGACCCGCAUCCUGUUUUGGGGACUGAACAUGUUGGAGGGCAUGAUUUAUGCCUCCACUCGAGAGCUGUUGAGAGACACAUUGACCCUGAGUGAGUGUGACCAUGUCAGGCAAGAAGUGUGCUGGGCUUAACUUCUCCCAGGUAGGUCUCAGCCCUCUUUGUGUACUUUUACCCCCACCUGCCCCUCCUUCCUUCCUUCCUGAUGCCCUGCCCCCUGUCAGCCACGUUUCACUCUGGGCCAAUCCACCCUGAUUUACAGUGAUCCUUUCCUGUGUGUACCCUAUUCUUCCGAGACCUUCUGAAUUGGUCUCAGCUGAAUCCAGUGCACAGCCCUAACAGGAAUUGCAUCUUACUCCCAAGAGCACUGGGAAGCAAAACAAAAGCCCGGGCAAAAUCAUUCAAAGUCAGGUCAGAAGGAGAACCCAACCCCGUUCUGUCUGAAUUUUCUGUUUGUGGAAAACUUGGGGGAAUCUUACAGAAAUAUACUGCAAAAAACACUAGAAGCCCUUCCGGACUCCAAAGCAAUCACAAAACCUCAGCAUCUGCCUGCUUCACCUAGAAUUGCGUAUCAGCCAAUCUUUCUCAGAAUCCUAGGUGGUCAAAAUAUCUCUGAUGUAGGGAUUGUAACUUCAGAGUCGUGUCUCAUCUGAAGCAAAUGCAGAACACUACAGUGGUACCUCGGGUUAAGUACUUAAUUCGUUCCGGAGGUCCGUUCUUAACCUGAAACUGUUCUUAACCUGAAACUGUUCUUAACCUGAAGCACCACUUUAGCUAAUGGGGCCUCCUGCUGCUGCUGCGCCGCCAGAGCACGAUUUCUGUUCUCAUCCUGAAGCAAAGUCCUUAACCCAAGUACUAUUUCUGGGUUAGCGGAGUCUGUAACCUGAAGCGUCUGUAACCUGAAGCGUAUGUAACCCGAGGUACCCCUGUACCUUAUAGAGUCAUGAGAACUUCAUAAGGCACAAAGGCUUGUCUGUAUUACUAGCAUUGCAUCUGCAAAACUGGAGUUUGCAAGUAUUUCUUCCUUGAGAAGUGAUACUGCAUGUAUAUUCUGAGUGGGUCUGGUCUGUUUCCCCAUCACGCAAUAAGGCCUAGACUCUGAAAGGGCUACGUCUCAGUUGGGGCUUCUAGGAACGUGUGCUACAAACCCUAUAAAUAUUUAUAAGCCAUUCAGUCUAAAGACCUUGUAGUUCCCGUUCUGAAGGAACACACACAAAUAUCAGAUGAAAUAGACACCCUUUCCCCAGGGAAUAUUACCAAAGGGCUAAUAAAAUUAACGCCGAACCGCUGAGUUCUAAUAUUAUGUAUUCUCAAGACUUAUUUAUAAUUCAGUAAAUGAAAUCCAGUUGCACACAGUAUAAUGGAUGGAACCCAUGCUGUGUUUAUCUCUUAAAAGGGGUAGAGAAUUGCUUGGAAUUUUGAAACACGUCCUAAAUUUUUUGCUUAAGUGCUUUUAGUGAUCUCAUCUUUACUUUUCUGGGAUGGGGGUCACGUUAGUCAUACUCAUGACCAUGGCUGAACACAAAAAAGGUUGAUAUUUUGUUAGGGCAGAAUAGGUAGAGCCCCAUGUUCUUGUAAGGAAUUAAUGUUAUUGAACAUUACAAACAGAGAUAUUGGUGACAUCCACAUCAUACAAACUGCUGACAGGAGUGAGGACUUGUCAGCAUCUAACACCUGUGCUCAGAUAUCUGCAACGCUUUGAAGCCAAAAUCCGGGAUGCCAUCUUCCCAGACACCAUCAUCCUGUUUUUUACUGUAAGAGCACGGCAGCCAUUUUGAUUGCCAUGUUAUAGUGUUAUUUCAUCCCCUCUAAAAAAGGUGCUUUUGGGGCACAGCAGCUGAAAACAUACGUUUUGCAGCACCCCGUGAAAUCACAGUCCUUAAAAAAGCACUUUUUGGGGGGGGGGAAUCGCGUUGUGAAAUCGUGUGAGAUCACAGCAACCAAAAUGGCCGCCUAUCUCUCGUAAUAAAAAACAGGAUGUCCUAGUUUUUCCAGGACAUUUGUGGGAUAUGCUGCUAGAGUUGCUGAUUUGCUACUGGGUCAGGUUUAAGGUAUUGCUGUUAGUAUAUAAAGACCAUAAGAAUUUGGGACCAGUUUACCUAUGAUUGCACUCAACCUCUUUGAUCAGCAGAAUUGGCAUCAUUACAGGUACAUGAUACCUGUUCAACGUUUGUUAGGAACUUGAUUGUUUUGCAUUGCAGCGCUUAUACUUUGGAAUUCCCUGCCUAUUGAUAUCAAGCACAUAUUCUUUUCAGUGCCUGCUGAAAAACUUUCUUCUGCUGUGGUGUAAACCACUGAGCCUCUGGGCUUGCCGAUCGGAAGGUCGGUGGUUCGAAUCCCUGUGACAGUGUGAGAUCCCGUUGCUCGGUCCCAGCUCUUGCCAACCUAGCAGUUCAAAAUCACGUGAAAGUGCGAGUAGAUCAAUAGGUACCACUCCGAUGGGAAGGUAAUUUGCGUUUCCGUGCGCUGCUCUGGUUUCGCCAGAAGCGGCUUAGUCAUGCUGGCCAUAUGACCCAGAAAAACUGUCUGCGGACAAACGCUGGCUUCCUCGGCCAGUAAAGCGAGAUGAGCGCUGCAACCCCAGAGUCGUUUGCGACUGGACUUAACUGUCAGGGGUCCUUUACCUUUACCCAACUGCUUAGAAAUGCUAUUGUGAAUUUUAAUCUGUUUUAAUAGUUUAACCUUUUGUAUGUUUUUGGCCUAGUAUACCUGAAGAAGCAUCUCCACCCCCAUUGUUUAACCCAGACACUGAGGUCCAGUUCCGAGGGCCUUCUGGCAGUUCCCUCUCUGUGAGAAGUGAGGUUAAAGGGAACCAGGCAGAGGACCUUCUCGGUAGUGGAGCCCACCCUGUGGCAUGCCCUCCC